rnacentral:tRNA from 1 species
GGCUGUUUAGCUCAGCUAGUUAGAGUGUGCUACUGGUAACACUGAGGUCAUGGGUUCAAUCCCCAUACGGUCA